rnacentral:tRNA from 1 species
GGUCCCGUUGGUCAAGCGGCUAAGCCGCCGCCCUUUCACGGCGGUAACACGGGUUCGAAUCCCGCACGGGUCA